GAAUGUGGAGGUCAUAUCAAUUUCUAGCUGUGUGACUUGGUGAGGCGCUUAAUCUUUUUGAGUCUUAGUUCCUCAAUAGUCCAUUGGAGAUGCUAAUACCUUCCUCCUAAGGCCACUGUGAGUAAACAAGACACCCUAUUUGCUGUGCCUGACUCAUACUACAUGGUAAAUAUUUAUUUAUUCAUUCCAUUCACCUGUCCCUCUGUUGAAAUUCACUUUUAAGAGCCUGGUGAGGCAAGGUUUGUUCAACGCGAGUGGUUAUAUGUGAGGCCCUGGGUGAGCCCUGCCUUGGAGAGCUGUUACUCAUCUUUUCCUUUUCUUUUCUUCUCUCUUUUUUUUCUUUUUUGAGACAGGGUCUCAUCUUGACACCUAGGCUGGAGUGCAGUGGCACAAUCACAGCUCACUGCAACCUCAACCUCCUAGGCUCAGUAGACCCUCCCACCUCAGCCUCCUGAGUUGCUGGGACUACAGGUGCGUGCCACCACACCCUGCUAACUUUUUGUGUGUGCCUGUAUUUUUUGUAGAGGUGGGGUUUCUCCUUGUUGCCCAGGCUGGUCUUGAACUCCUGGGCUCAAGUGAUUCACCCACCUUGGCCUCCCAAAGUGUUGGGAUUGCAGGCAUGAGCUACGGCGCCCGGCCUGAUACUCAUCUUUGCACAGUCUACACAACAGUAGUGGAUAACGGACAGAUGGAGACCACUCCUGGCAUGGAGGUUCUGAGCUUCAGUUCUCACCUGACCUGCUGGUUGGACAUGUGGCUCCAGUAACCCCUUCUGGGGGACAGACUCUGCUGGAGUCACACUGGAUGCCCCUUGGUGCCGAGCACAGGUAUCUGGCCCAGAGCACUGCUGGGCAACAGACCAAGGAGGACGGUGCUGGAGGACAUUUGGGUGUGGUAAGAGGCUAUCCCUUCCCCCCAAUUUGCCGCUCUAUACCGCCUCUGUCAGGGUUGUAGGACCCUUACCAGGCAGGGAGAGAUGGUGGUGGUUUUGUGGUCAUUCCCCUGUAAUUUGCUUCAUAUCAUCUUUGCAUGAUUUGUAACUGCCCAUCAGGUUCAUCUUGCCUGCUGUCUAGACAGAGCCAAUUUAUCAAGAUAGGGGAAUUGCAAUAGAGAAAGAGUUCAAUUCAUGUAGAGCCGGCUGUACGGGAGACUGGAGUUUUAUUAUUACUUAAAUCAGUCUCCCUGAGAAUUCAGGGAUCGGUGUUUUUAAGAAUAAUUUAGUGGGUAGGAGGCCAGUGAGUCAGGAGUGCUGAUUGGUUGGCUUGGGGAUGAAAUCAUAAGGAGUCAAAGCUGUCCUCUUAUGCUGAGGCGGUUCCUGGGUGGGGGCCGCAGAAGUGGUUGGCAGGUCCAGCUGGGGCCAUCAGGUUGCCAGACAUGCAAAAAACUGAAAAGUUAUCUCAAAAGGCCAAUGUUAGGUUCUACAACAGUGAUGUUAUCUUCAGGAGUAAUUGGAGAAGUUGUAAAUCUUAUGACCUCCAGAGCAAUAGCUGAUAAUAUUUAGAAUUCAAGCCCCUCUUAUCCUAACUUGGUGGCCUUUUAUUUGUUUUACAAGAGCAUGUUAGCUUUUGGGAAGAGCUGUUAUUUAAACUAUAAAUGUAUCCCAAAGUUAGCUUGGCCCAAGCCCAGGAAUGAGCAAAGAGAGCCAACCUGUGAGGCUUGAGACAAGAUGGAGUCAGCCCUGUCAGGUUUCUCUCACUGUCAUAAUUUCCUUAGUUAUGAUUUUUGCAAAGGCGGUUUCAGAUUUGCCUUUUACUAAAACACACAGGCUUGCACUUCAUCUUGAGUGAGUGUGUGUGCAUCUCUGGCUGGUCCUCCAGAGCUGGGUCCAGCAGGCCAAUCCCUGUGCCCCUCUGGAGUUUCUCCAAGGCCACCCUGGGCACUUCCAGUAGGAUAUUGUUGCUCCACAUCAGGGCUCCUGCCAGCAGCGUAGCUGUGCUCCACACAGAAGUCCCUCAGCUGGUGACCACAGAAUAAUGAAUGCCAAUCUGGAUGUUAGUUUUCACACAUUUGCAUACCCCAGGGGUCUGCCUGGCCUGUGAGGUCUUUCUGACUCUGAGCAGCUAUGAUGCUGUGAUUAACCUCACAAAUGCAUAAUGGAUCUUGAGGUCCUUUCCCGGCAGAGAUGUUGGGGAACUAAUGCAACCCCCUGCCUUUUCUCUUAAGCUGCCUUCAGGGCUGAUAUCAUGGGUUGGUCAACUGCCUGAGAUUUCUUCCUCUAUCUGGGGUUAGCAAGACACCUAAAAGGUAAUCCUCCCCACCUCUCCCCACCACCAUAGUGCUAUUAGUCAGCUACACCUGAGUGUGAAUUACUUUAGUCAGAUUUCUUUCCCAUUAAUAUCCUCAAGGGAAGGGGAUUUUAAUAGAAGUAGAGUGAGUGCCUAAAUUACUCACGGAGCCCUGGGCAGGUUCUGCCUUUCAGCAUGACUCAUCUUUUUGUGGUCUGCACAAACAGCCAAGUAUAAAGGAUAAGAAGGGAGCUGCCCCUGGCACCAGAAGCCCUUGUCUGGGCAGAUGGAAGUGUUAUGGGGAGGGAAGGCCCCAGAAGAAUUGGGGAGAGGGGUAUCCCUCAUGGACUUUGCUCUCACAUGGGGUGUAGUUGGCCAUUCAAUCACCUCUGGUCUGCUGCCUACUGCCCGUCUUGCUGUCUGGAUGUCUAAGACAACCCUAAGAUGCCUGGAUGUCAGAGCCUGUGGUGCAAACAUUUGGCUGCCAGCAAGGGUCACUGUUCUGGUUUUCAAGGCCAAAUCAGAGUGGGUUUUUCUGGGGUUUGGGAGCAGCUGAAGCUAGAAGCAGAAGCAACUGAGGCCCAGAGGAGCAAAGGCCCCCAAGCAAGGUCUCCAGCAGGCUGGCAGCACGGUGGAAAUGGAGCCCACUCCCCUGUCUUCCACUGCCUGUUUAAGAGAAGAGCAGCCGCGAGGUCCUGGGCUGGUCUCGGGGCCUUGACGCAAUAACAGCCCAGGAGCAGAGAGACCACCUAGUACCCAGAUCUUGAUUUCUAAAUGCUGUUACCCACCAGGAGGAACUAAAAUUUUCUGCAGAAAUGGCUGACUCCAGAUCCAUGGAAAUGAAGCUCCACGUUAAGCCUGGGAUGUCUUAUGGUCCCAAGAAGGAAGGAUAUGCUUAAAAACUACUGAGGUCACAUGGAAAGGACGCGGAAGCUGACUGAGGGAUCUGCCUCGCUAAGUUUUGGGACUACUGAGCAUCAAAAAGAAUGACUGUAAGGGGGCCGAGCUUGGUGGCUCAUGCCUGUAAUUCCAGCACUUUGGGAGGUCAAGAUGGGCGGAUCACGAGGUCAAGAGAUCGAGACCAUCCUGGCCAACGUGGUGAAACCCCGUCUCCACUAAAAAUGCAAAACUUAGCCGGACAUGGUGGUGGGCCCUGUAGUCCCAGCUACUUGGGGAGGCUGAGGCAGGAGAAUCGCUUGAACCUGUGAGAGGGAGUUUGCAGUGAGCUGAUAUAGCGCCACUGCACUCCAGCCUGGCGACAGAGUGAGACUCCAUCUGAAAACAAAACAAAACAAAACAAGAAUGACUGUAGUUAAUUAAAAUGCAUUAA